AAUAUGCUCCCUAGAUCCACCUUUGGGAUGUACCUGUUUUGCCUUGCUGGUAGAUUUCUGCACUUUGGUGUUGGGUCCUUCACUGGGCUGGCAGGUGACAUUUAUCAACUUGUGGUUGGCCAUUCAAAGGUGCUUGAGUCAUUAGCAUGUAAUAUACCUGCACAGUAGCCCCUCUGUUCUGAUGUGAACUACCUGUUGCUCCAGGCUCUUGCUGCCAUCAGGAGUUUGCUGCUGUGUGGACAUG